rnacentral:snoRNA from 1 species
UAAUUAUUAUUGUUAUUAUUUUUUGAGUUGGAAUCUCACUCAGUCACCCAGGCUGGAGUGC